rnacentral:rRNA from 1 species
AACCCUGUCUCAGUUCGGAUUGGAGUCUGCAACUCGACUCCAUGAAGCUGGAUUCGCUAGUAAUCGCGCAUCAGCCAUGGCGCGGUGAAUACGUUCCCGGGCCUUGUACACACCGCCCGUCAAGCCAUGGGAGUCGGGGGUACCUGAAGUGCGUAACCGCAAGGAGCGCCCUAGGGUAAAACUGGUGAUUGGGGCUAAGUCGUAACAAGGUACC